rnacentral:rRNA from 13 species
CUGACUGCGUACCUUUUGUAUAAUGGGUCAGCGACUUAAUGUGUCGAGCGAGCUUAAGCCGAUAGGUGGAGGCGCAGCGAAAGCGAGUCUGAACAGGGCGCUUUGUUCCGGGCAACCGGAACCAGUUCGACGUAUUAGACCCGAAACCCGGUGAUCUAGCCAUGAGCAGGUUGAAGGUGCGGUAACACGCACUGGAGGACCGAACGGGUGUCUGUUGAAAAAGCCUCCGAUGACUUGUGGUUAGGGGUGAAAGGCCAAUCAAACCGGGAAAUAGCUGGUUCUCCGCGAAAUCUAUUUAGGUAGAGCCUCGCAUGUAUGUCUCAGGGGGUAGAGCACUGGAUGGGCUAGGGGGUCCCAACGACUUACCAAACCUAACCAAACUCCGAAUACCGAAGAGUAGAGCGAGGCAGACACACUGCGGGUGCUAAGGUCCGUAGUGGAGAGGGAAACAGCCCUGACCGCCAGCUAAGGUCCCUAAGUUAUCACUAAGUGGGAAACGAUGUGGGAAUGCUUAGACAACCAGGAGGUUGGCUUAGAAGCAGCCACCCUUUAAAGAAAGCGUAAUAGC